GAUCCUGGCUCAGGAUGAACGCUGGCGGCGUGCUUAACACAUGCAAGUCGAACGAAGCACUUAAGAUUGACUCUUCGGAUAGAUUUCUUUUGUGACUUAGUGGCGGACGGGUGAGUAACGCGUGGGUAACCUGCCUCACACAGGGGGAUAACAGUUAGAAAUGACUGCUAAUACCGCAUAACCCGAUAGGAUCGCAUGAUCCAGACGGAAAAGAUUUAUCGGUGUGAGAUGGACCCGCG
rnacentral:rRNA from 1 species